rnacentral:rRNA from 1 species
GACGUAGGGCGCGAGCGUUGUCCGGAUUUAUUGGGCGUAAAGAGCUCGUAGGCGGCUUGUUGCGUCGACCGUGAAAACCCGCGGCUUAACUGCGGGCUUGCGGUUGAUACGGGCGGGCUGGAGUUCGGUAGGGGAGACUGGAAUUCCUGGUGUAGCGGUGAAAUGCGCAGAUAUCAGGAGGAAUACCGAUGGCGAAGGCAGGUCUCUGGGCCGAUACUGACGCUGAGGGGCGAAAGCGUGGGGAGCGAACAGG